rnacentral:sRNA from 1 species
AGGCCCCAUAAAUAGCAGCAGAGCCGGAGCUGGAGCCGGCGCCAGCGGCUGGAGCAGCAAGGGAGUCAGGGCCAGGGCCAGAGAUCCGGAGAGAGGAGCCCCCGACCGAGAGCCCAGGUAGAGCGCACAGAGGUGCUUCGCUCCUGUUCCAGCCCUGUCUUCUCCCGGGUGCUGGCCCUUGAGUAUUUUUUUGAGGAGAAGCAGCCCCUGCAGUUCCACGUGUUCGAUGCCGAGGACGGAGCCACCAGCCCCCGAAAUGAUACCUUCCUCGGCUCUACGGAGUGCACCUUGGGCCAGAUUGUGUCACAAACCAAGGUCACUAAGCCAUUAUUGCUGAAGAAUGGGAAGACUGCGGGCAAGUCCACCAUCACGGUAGGCAAGAUCACCUGUACUCACCCUUGGUCCAGGUAUUCAAUGCCCCUGCAUGGACACCUAUGGUGACAUCAUGCCCAGGACCACCCCCACCUAAGGGAAAGGGGAUGGGGUGGCCCUUGUGGUAAGGUUAGGGGAGUCCUGCCACUUGUAUCCCCCUUGCAGAUCGUGGCCGA